rnacentral:rRNA from 1 species
GACGAACGCUGGCGGCGUGCCUAAUACAUGCAAGUCGAACGCAGUUGCGAACGGGUGAGUAACGCGUAUGUAACUGCCUCAUAGCGGGGGUUAACUAUUUGAAACGAUAGCUAAUACCGCAUACUGUGAGAUGGACCUGCGUUGUAUUAGCUAGUUGGUGAGGUAAAGGCUCACCAAGGAGACGAUACAUAGCCGACCUGAGAGGGUGAUCGGCGACACUGGGACUGAGACACGGCACCGACUCCUACGAGAGGCAGCAGAAGGGAUUGUGCGGCAAUGAACGGAAGUCCUACCCAGCAACGUCUCGGGAGUGAAGAAGGUUUUAAGAACGUAAAGCUCCGUUGUUAGAUAAGCGGUAACUAACCAGAAAGGGAAGUCUAACUACGUGCCAGCAGCCGCGGUAAUAC